CAGCCAUGUCUAGCGACUGAAGCGGCAGCUUUCCGGGCAGGAGACGUGUGUCCGGCUCCCCUCUAAGCGGGGUGGCACUCAUGCUUCUACAGAGGGUUUUGGCUCCAUCCUGCUUUCUGGACCUCCGGCACCAACUCAUCCCUGCAUAGCAUUUGUCCGACCGCAGCUCUUGGAAAGGGAGUCAACAGCUCUGACUCAGCCUGGGCCCUGCUGCUUCUCUACCUCUAAUUAUAGACUUCUAGGCUGCUGAGCAAACAGUCAUCCCCUCUCGGUAAAUCUGCCUGUUACACAAGCACCAGCCCUGGGACACUGUCAUUAUAUGCAGCCAACCCCAUGAAGUGCUGGGCAGCGCCGCCACACACCCGUUACCUCUGUCACGCCACUGCUGGAGCUAUAGGCGCAACAGGGCCCAUUGUAAGAAUUCUGAAGAGGAAAAAGUAUCACCUGGCCAAGAGCAGAGAACACCGGCAGGGUUGUAUGAAUUGGAUGGCCUCUGUCCUUGAAGAUUCUCAAGAAUCUACUUCCUGGUCCUCCGACUUGUAGGCUUCAGAAACUUGUCUGUGUCCCAGAGCUAGAUGGAUUAAAGGAUGCUGAUUUGUUCAAACACCACUCACAAGAGAUGGGUGUGAGGGCUGUGAGGAAGGGGUACUAGUUCUGGCCAACCAGCAUCUGAACAUCCUUCCUCUGUUUGGAGAAUCCCCUAUGUUAAGAGGUAGAUCCCACUCACCAGAAUCAAAGCUGAGAAGAUCCCAUCAUCUGUUUCUGAGCCAUCUUUGCAACCAGAACUUGGACCCAUGAUCCGGGCUCUGCCAAUCAGAUGCUCCCACCAAUAUUUUGAAUCAGAAGCUCAUGGAGGGAAGAAGCAGAGGUGUAAAGACUCCAGUUAUCAAUGAGUGACGGCCGCGGUGGUGGUAGCAAUUAUAUCCGGUUUCCAGAGGCAGUCAUGGCCUGUGAUAACUUCAUGGCAUCUUCCCUGGAGUAUGAUCUUCAAGCUCCGUUUCUGGUAGCAGAGCCAAAUGGCAAAGAUCUCUAGCCAGCCUUCUGUGGGCUCCCCAGUAUCUUUCAAAUCAACUCCAUCUUGCUUAAAUCUUCCAGAAUCAUUUUUGGAUGCUUACAACUGAAAAUCCAGGCUGAUGUGAGGACUGGGAGACCAAUGUUUGAACUGAGAACUACAGCAGGCUGGUGAGUUAACUGUUCCUAGCAGGUGGGGGUCCUCUUCUUCUGGCAAACUAUGUGGGAAUGGUGGGAAUCUCUGUCCCAAGAGGCAUGGACGCCAGUGCCGGAAGUUUCAGGCUUUACAACAGCUGGUGAAAGAGACAUCCGGGAUCUAAAUGUAAGUCAGCUUCAGAGUGGACAUGGUUGGUCAGGAGAUAUGAAAUGAUCAGCUAACAAUUUACACUUUCACGGAAUCCCUUUUCCCUGAAGGAGGAUUUGAAAACGUUAAUCCUCAGAUAAGAAAUCUGGGGCCCCAGAGGUGAAGGGAGCCACAACAAGGGGUUGAGAAUUUCCCCUCCUCUGUUCUCGUCCGACUUGCUUGCCAAGUCAUCCUGACGGUAAAGUGAGAAAGGGCCCAUGGUUGGCAAAGAAAGAGAAGUAUUGUAAAAAGACAACUGUUUUCAUGUGUAUUCACUGCCUCGUUUGACUGGGGCACACUUCCAUGAAGCAGAGAGGCUAAUUACCCUUCCCUUUUUUGGAUUUGGAAGCUAAAACUCAGAGAGUUUGACCCAUCUGAUGGGGACACAAGCCAUCUGACUAAACCCUACCUCCUUUCCCCAGGGACACCGUCAAGGAGGUGGGCAGGAAGGGGGUCUAGAGACACCAGCUCAGAGAGCUAAAAUCAGCACUCCUCACAUGUGGCAUCUUCCCUUCUCUGACAGUGCCAACAUCACUUUCUCCCUCCUUCUAGGCCCCUAUCUUACUCUUCUCAUACUGCCUCAGUUUCCCAGGGCCUCCACAGCCAUGCUAUGCUUGAGCCUGCUGUAAGAUCACUGCCCAAAGACGCAGCCAGUUCCCUCCUCCCUGCCCAUCAGAUCUGACUAGUCUCAGGUCCACUCCUCCUGUGCUUUGCUCUAAAUAAAUUUUACACCUUCUUACUCCAAACCCGGUUCUCUUUCUGAAACACUCCCCAAAAACAUUGGCCUGAGGGAGCCCAAGAAGAGGCAAAGUUCUAGGUGGGAAGUGGGGAGCCAAGUCAUGCCUUGGCCUCACCAGAGACUCGAUAGGAUGUAGACAAUGUUGCUGUGGUGCUCCUUUGUUUCUCAAUCUACAGGCUAGUGACCAAGGUGUAUUCAGUUUGUGACAGUUCAUUGAGCUGUGCUUUUAUGAUUUGUGUACUUUCCUCUAUGUCCAUAUGCACAAUCAAAACUUUCCUUAAAAAUCAUUUUUUUAAAAGAUUUAUUUGACAGCGAGAGAGUGAGCCAGAGAGCACAUAUUG